rnacentral:tRNA from 1 species
GACACAGUGGCGCAGUUGGUAGCGCUGUUGCCUUACAGCAAGAAGGUCACUGGUUCGAGCUCCAGCUGGGUCA